rnacentral:ncRNA from 2 species
AUCGAAAGAAGAGGUUGCAUGACUCAUCAUUAGGUAGUCUUAGACGGAAUAAGCGUUGGAGGAUUAUCGAAAGGGUGCCAUGCCGAAAUGGAAGGCUACUUAUUUUAGUAUUCUGUUGGGCCCUGGUUUAAUAAAUCAGGGACUGUCGCAAUGAUAAUUGCGGGGCGCUAUCGACGAU